UUGAUAUCCCCGUUCGCAGUGGACAGCCAAGCGUCAGUGCGCGCGCGUGUGUGCUUGUGCGCUUUUCCUUACGGAUUGGAGUUAACUGCAUAACGCGUGUCUGUGUGGAUGUGUGUGUUCGUGAAGAAGGGGGAAAUGUGUGGCUGCGUGAGCAUGCAAAUGAAGUGAAGUGAGCACGAAGAUAUUCGCAGCAUCACUGUAUUAUGUGUAAAAGAGCCCGCUCCGAUUGGAUCUGCCUAGCUCAACGAAUAUGGCUUUGAGGAGUGAGUGAAGAUGGGAGGGCCUUGGCUAUGGGUAUGGCUGGGCACGUGCAUCAGCAUUGGCAUCCUCUCUCCAUCUCCGCUCUCCAUCGUCUGGGCCCAGGACAAUGAAAAGUGUAAGCUGUCCCGGUCAGGGCCCCCGGCCACCAUCGUCACUAUCGAUGAAGAGAGUCCUAACGG